GAGUUUGAUCCUGGCUCAGGAUGAACGCUGGCGGCGUGCUUAACACAUGCAAGUCGAACGAAGCGAUCAGGAGGAAGUUUUCGGAUGGAAUCCGGAUUGACUGAGUGGCGGACGGGUGAGUAACGCGUGGGUAACCUGCCUCAUACAGGGGGAUAACAGUUAGAAAUGACUGCUAAUACCGCAUAAGCGCACAGGGACACAUGUUCCGGUGUGAAAAACUCCGGUGGUAUGAGAUGGACCCGCGUCUGAUUAGCUGGUUGGCGGGGUAACGGCCCACCAAGGCGACGAUCAGUAGCCGACCUGAGAGGGUGACCGGCCACAUUGGGACUGAGACACGGCCCAAACUCCUACGGGAGGCAGCAGUGGGGAAUAUUGCACAAUGGGGGAAACCCUGAUGCAGCAACGCCGCGUGAGUGAAGAAGUA
rnacentral:rRNA from 1 species